GGAGAUGUGGCUUGGGGCUAGAGCAUGUGCUUUGCAUGCACAAGGCCCUGAGUUCAAUCCCCAGCACCGCAA
rnacentral:tRNA from 1 species